UUUUUUUUUUUCAUGGUGGUGCAUUUGAUGUUAAGCUAUACAGAAAGAAUAUUGUAGUGUUUGAUACAUAAAAGUUUAAGCUACAUGGUUGUAGCUGUGUGAUAUUCUAGGAAUUUUUAAAAGUUUUUUUAAUCUCUCAUGUGUGAAGAGAUCCUGAAAAGGUAUAUAUUAUGUGUAUGCAAAAAAUGUAUAAGUUGAUGAAUUGUGUGAAUCUCCGUAUAACCUUGAUCUUCAAUUAUUAUCAAAUAUUUUGUAUGGAGUUUUUAUACCCAUGUACAUCUGUUUUGAAGUAGUGCUUGUGAUAUUACAUGUAUCCACUUUACGAUGGAGAGGGAAAUUUUACAUUUUACUCUUACCUACAUACGUCAGGGCAUUAAUACAUGUAUAUCAAAAUGAAUGAAAUAAACUAAAGUUUACUUUUUGUCAACAUGCAUAAAGUGCUUUUUUAUACAUUAAUAUUCAAAUAGUUAUUUUGAUCUGCAUGUAAGUAGAUCUGAAAUAUAGCACCUGCCUAAAAUUAGUACAUGUAUUAAUAAGAUUACUAUUUUUUCUGCACGUGUUGAUAUUCAUGUUUUGAUUCCAAAUAGGUACAUUGAAUUUUUUGCAACUUCUGAAAAGAUAGCUAUUUAAAUAUCAUGAAAUUAAAUGAUAUGAAACUC
rnacentral:misc_RNA from 1 species